UGGAGACAGGCGUGACCCCCAGGUCAGCUCCUUGUCAUUGAACUAAGUGGGCUCAGUGUCAGCUUGAACGUUAGUGGUGAUAAGGGCCGGAUAAUGGUAGCCAAACUCCCACGGCCUCUUUAGGCCUCCCCUGGGGCCCUGAGGCCAGCAAGAGGGCAGGUCAGGGAGGGGCCAGGAGGAGGAGCAGGCAGGGAGGCUGCUGGUGCCUUUGGCUCAGCCAGUGGGGCUCUCAGCCCUCUGGAGUGUGCCCUAGGGACCAGUUUGUCCAUGCCCCUGCCUCCAGGCCAGUCACUAGGACCAACAGAUGUCCCAAGGAAGACACCGGCCAUGACUGCAUCCUGGAACCAUAUCAAACUGGCAGCACUUACUUCUCUGGACUUGUUUUUGUUUCACCAAAUUUGCUGGAUCUGUUGGCAAGUUUGAGUGAGUGGGGAAGUUGUGGAUGUGUGUUCAGGCUCUGCCGUGGACCUGGGGGCCAGGGUUAAUCUGCUGGCGGUUUCAGGUGGGAAAGACCAGAGCUUGAUCACAGCACACACAGCACCUGGGGAUAUUUCUCAGGCUCUGCGCUCCCUGGUCCUGAGUCUGUCACCUGUGAGGUCAAGCUUCCUAAGCCUUCCUGGGCCUGAAAGUAAGCCACACCACUUCCAAAAUAAUGACACCUGUGUGCAACCCAGAUGGGAGCAUGGUCCUGGCCGUGUGUCUGCAUCUCUGGGCUGCUCCCCAGCACACAGGGGAGGGCAGGAGGUGGGUUUUAUGCUGGGAGGGCCUCAGGUGGCCUCCUGGGUCAGCAGCAUGCAUGCGGCCCUGUCCCUCUCAUGCCCCUCUAUUGCUGGUCCAGGACUGAACCUUUUCUUUCUCUGCCCAGAGCAGCCUCCAGGGAGCCACUGUCAAUGGACAAGAGGCGGCAUGUGACAUGGGAUGAUUUGCCACCCCUGAAUCAGUCCAACUCUUCCAUUCUCAGAGGAGGGCACUGAGGCGGGGGGGGCCUGGCCAGCCCAAGCCCUGUCUGCUGCUCGGCUGAGCAAGAGGGACAUGAACGCAGCUCUUCGUCCUCUGCCCUGUGCUUGCAUUCUCUUGAGCUUUCUCUCUGGUGAACAGUCUCAGACUGCAAAGCAAGUCAGCACUACCACAGAGGGAAUCCCAAACUCGCUGCUGAGAACAGAACAGCUGUGCCCUCGCCGACUGGGACCCGAGUGACAUCUACUGGAGCAAGCAGGGGCUGCACGUGAGCAGGCAGCCAUUCGGUCACUCCCCGUCAUUCCAACACAAUCGAAUUUGUGUAGAAAAUUUACAUGCAUCAUAGGCUAUUUAUGAAUAUAUGCACACGUAGAAAGAGGAAAAAUACGCUUGGAAAUGGUAAACAUAACUUCAAGAUAGUAGUUACCCUUGGGUUCGGUAGGGGUGAAGGAGUGGUAAGGGUUUUAGUUUUAUCUUUAACCAUUUCUUUUUUCACUUACUUAUUUGUAGAGAUGGGAGUCUCACUAUGUUGCCCAGGGUAGUCCUGGUCUCAAGCAAUCCUCCCACCUUGGCUUCCCAAAAUGCUGGGAUUACAGGCGUGAGACACCAUGCCUGGCCACAAUUUGGUUUCUCUUUCAAAAGAUCCGAUACCAGUGUGCCAAAGUAUUGACAUCUAUUAAAUCUUUCAGGUGGUCCUACUGAGGUCUGUUUUUCUGUGCUUAUCUCUAAGUUUAAAAUCGUUCAUAAUAAACAUAUAGUUUAUAUUAAUAGUAAUAAUAUACAGUAUAUAUUAUACUAUAUAUUUAUUAUAUAGUAUAUACUUUAUAUUCAUUAUAUAUUGUAUACUUACAUUUAUGGAAGGAAAAUAAAAAACAAAAAUGGAAAAUUUGUGGUCCAGAUUCUUGGUCCCAAUGGUAGCAGGGCAGUUUAAUAGCAAAAGUUCUUAAUACUUGUUGGCUGCUGUUACCAUCAUUAAUAAGUAUCCUGGAGUUUACUGGAGUAACUGAACAGCAGUCGAAGCUCAUGUAUAGGCUAGAGGAGAAUCACGCUCUUCAACAGUAGUGACAAGAUGAAGAUACACUGAGAAGACUCAUUUAUUUGCUAUUAUUGAAAAAUUGUUCAUACCCCAUAGGAAGAUGUGGCAUAGAACAUCAGAAUGUUCUUAGAAUUGGGAAACUCUCAGGUAGGAGGCUGAAAGAGAAAGCCAAAAUGACUAUUUUAUUUCCAGAUUAAAG
rnacentral:lncRNA from 10 species